AACGAACGCUGGCGGCAUGCCUAACACAUGCAAGUCGAACGAGAUCUUCGGGUCUAGUGGCGCACGGGUGCGUAACGCGUGGGAAUCUGCCCUUUGGUUCGGAAUAACAGUUGGAAACGACUGCUAAUACCGGAUGAUGACGAAAGUCCAAAGAUUUAUCGCCAGAGGAUGAGCCCGCGUAGGAUUAGCUAGUUGGUGUGGUAAAGGCGCACCAAGGCGACGAUCCUUAGCUGGUCUGAGAGGAUGAUCAGCCACACUGGGACUGAGACACGGCCCAGACUCCUACGGGAGGCAGCAGUGGGGAAUAUUGGACUAUGGGCAAAAGCCUGAUCCAGCAAUGCCGCGUGAGUGAUGAAGGCCUUAGGGUUGUAAAGCUCUUUUACCCGGGAUGAUAAUGACAGUACCGGGAGAAUAAGCUCCGGCUAACUCCGUGCCAGCCGCCGCAGUAA
rnacentral:rRNA from 1 species